GCAGCUACUUUUUGAAAUCACUGUGAGCCACGUACCAACGGGAGCAGAAGCCAGAACAGUGGCUCUUGUGUACCACUGAAUGAAGGGAGGCAGG